AUUGCUUUUUUGACCUUUUGACUCAGAUCAAGUGUAGUAUCUAUUCUUAGUAGUUUAUUAUAUGAUAUGUCCUCUAUCUGAGGACAGCAUAUUGAGUGGAUUUUUGGAGCAGGAAAAUGGAAUAGGAGCUUGCUCUGCCCACUCCACACAUCAGCCUGGUAUUACAGUACCUCCAGGAACGGCCUCACCCCU
rnacentral:snRNA from 1 species